CCCUUAGAUGUUCUGGGCCGCACACGCGCUACACUGAAGGAGGCAGCGUGUACUCCUGGAUCGAAAGAUUUGGGUAACCCGCGAAUCUCCUUCGUGCUAGGGAUUGAGGUUUGCAAUUAUCCUUCAUGAACGAGGAAUUCCCAGUAAGUGCAAGUCAUAAGCUUGCGCUGACUACGUCCCUGCCCUUUGUACACACCGCCCGUCGCUACUACCGAUUGAAUGAUUUAGUGAGGACUUCGGACUGGGACCGAUGCGGCUUUCGGGCUACGUCGGUAUUCUGGAAAGAUGUCCAAACUGUAUCAUUUAGAGGAAGUAAAAGUCGUAACA
rnacentral:rRNA from 1 species